CGGGGCGGCGGGCACCGGCUCUGGUGCCCUGGGCGGCAGAGCAGCCGGAGCCUGUGGAAGUCUCUGCCCCUUCAGCACCAUCUCCUGGAGCUUCUCGAUUUUAACUCUUCGCAUGUGGGCCAGCUUCCGCUUGCUCUGAUAGAUGUCAAUGAAGGAGUCCAGAGAAAGCUCUCCGUCCAGAAACUUCUCUGCCAUGUUCUGAAAGCAGCAGGAGACACCCAGUCACAAGCACGUCAGCGGCAGGGAAGGAAGCUCCCUUCACCACCCGGGCACCAGGACGGGCACGGCCAGCUUCCUCCCAACACCCGUCCCCGCCGCCGACCCCGGCUGACCUCAGCGGGGCCCCCACCCAGGCAGUGAGCGGGAAGAGGGGGGCUGGACCCGUCUGCCCUGCCCUCCAGAGCCACAGACUGGACUGGUGGCAGGGGGGCCGCACAGCAGCCCCAAGCUGCUGGGUCGUCCGUUGGAGAGGGAAUCAUUCAGCAGCUGGGUUCCUGACAUCUUCCCUCCACCGGCCGCGUCCCGACAGACUCGCCCCACGAGGGGUCAGCAGGACAGAAACUUGCCCAUUAGGACCCCACCCGCUGCCCAACAGUUAAUCAGAGCACAUGGGCCUAACUUGCUACAACUGCACAACUUUUGACCCACUCAUUUCCUUAUCGCUUACUCAGGUGCUCAGCUGGCCGUGCCCACGGGUCCUGCCCCACCAGCUGACUCAGACAGAUGGUAACUCAGGGACUGGCGCCCCUCACUUGAGGACCAGCCCACCCUGCUGCUCCCCCAGGACCUUGGCCUGGCAUCUUCCCGGCGCACUCCCGUGCAGCCUGCACGCCUGGGAGGCACCACUUCCUGGCCGUGGAGAACCAGAGGACCUAAGGAUGGACUGACUGCCCAAAGUGGCCUGGGCCGGGGAACUGUGCCCUGGGCACCCCGCCCGGCAGGCUGGCUUUACCUCCGUGUCUUCCUCGAUCUUGGCCCCUUCUGCCUGGAGAAGCGCUAACAGGGUCUCCAAGGAAGCGCUGCUGGAUUGUUUAUCUGGUAAGAGACAGGAUGGGACGUGAACGUCCAUUUCUGUUGGGGAUACACCAAGGAGCCACCAGGAGCCAAACUACUGAACCACAGGGUCUGCAUGCUUUUCACGGUAGCAGGUACUGCCACACAGCUUCUCCCGUUCUCAGUCCACCAGCGAUGGAAGAGCCCCACCCCCGCCAGCACUGGUGUUGCCAGUCUUUAUUCUGGUUGGACACGUUAUAUAGUAAAUUUUUACUGCAGUUAUAGAGAUGCAGGGAUUACAGUACCAGACACCACUGUAAAUCUCACUGAAGGGGAUGAUUUUUAACGUCUCUCUAUCUCAGAGUUUCCCUGAAGCUAUCCCAGAGCACUCAGGCCUCAACAAUAAACAAUUCCUGCAUCACUUCA